GUGCCAGCAGCCGCGGUAAUACGUAGGUGGCAAGCGUUGUCCGGAUUUAUUGGGUUUAAAGGGUGCGUAGGCGGUUCCAUAAGUCAGUGGUGAAAUACGGCAGCUCAACUGUCGAGGUGCCAUUGAUACUGCGGAACUUGAGUACUGAUGAGGUAGGCGGAAUUGACGGUGUAGCGGUGAAAUGCUUAGAUAUCGUCAAGAACACCGAUAGCGAAGGCAGCUUACCAAGCAGUAACUGACGCUGAGGCACGAAAGUGCGGGGAUCAAACAGGAUUAGAAACCCUCGUAGUCC
rnacentral:rRNA from 1 species